UGUGGGUGGUGGUCUCAAGCUGGGAGCCUGGCCCCCCAUCCCCCAAUCCUUAGCCUGAAAAUCCUGGCUGAGCCAUACCAAACAGAAACUGUGUCAUCCAUCAUCAUCACCCUAGCCAACUGUUUGAUCUCCAUGCUGCCUGGCCUUCCGGAGGCCUCCAUAACCCCCAUCUAGGUAACCCCAUUCCAGACUAGCACUCUCUCCUACCAGCUGUAUUCACGACAGGGCAGGGGAGCAGUACCUGCGGGUUCCCAAUGGCAGAUUUGUGUCUCCUACUGGAGUCAGGUGUGCAGCAAAACUAACCCUAGACCCAACUCUAAAGAGCUUCAGGCUUUCAAUCUGCUUUCACCUGGCACCUACCCGGAGGGCCGAGACCGUAGCUUGGUCCAUGUCUGGGGAGCUGGCCAUUAUCUUGUGUGCAGCCAGAACACCUGUAGGGGACAGAAUUCCUCCCUCAAAGCUAGUUCUAGCCUCUCAGCUCCUAUGAGGGAGACAGCUGAAGCAUCCUUCACCUCCUUUAGGGAAGCAACCCCAAACAUAUGGCAGCUGUCAUUUCCCAAAGGACUGAGGCCACUAACACAGACACUCCACGCUAGCACCCUCCCUGGCAGCAGCAGAAUUUACUACCUGCAGCUGUGAAGCCCUUGGCUAGAGCAAAGGCUAGCUGCCCUGCCCCGAUGAAGCCUACGCUCAUGUCUGGAGGUCCACGACCCACAACUUUCACAGCUGACGCCGGCUCUGUAGGGCAGCAGAGAACUGUACCGACAGGACGGAAAGAGAGACGUCGGGUGGGUAAUACCAAGUCUGGCCGUUCCUAGCAGCCAGGUGCUCCCCAACCCCCACCCCAGCCUGCUUAAUUUCUAUGUUGCUCCUCGGCUGGCCGGGUUGGGAAGUUGUCCCAGGUACCCCGACACCCCGUACCACUACCACCCGCCGCCCAGAGCCAGGAUGCCUGGUCUGCAGCUGAAGGUUCUGAGCCUUCUGCAAAGGGCUCAGGGAGCCAAAAGGAAAGAGAUUGAUUGAAGGGGAGGGUCAGGAAUCCAGCGAACCCUCAACAUCCAAGUCUCCAGCUUAUUUCCCAGAAGCCCCAGCCCCUAAGCCUUCAUUCCAGGAGUUCCAUCCCCGAAGCCCCAAGUCCCGCUACCCACAGCGUGGAUAUUCGGGUACACACACAACAGACAGCCCAGCCCUUCUUGCAUUCGCCACGCGGCACCCGCGCCCACCGGCCCCGCCCUCACUUCAUUUCAGCCAAUGAGCUGUGCGCCCUGUGAGAGAGCUAGCCAAUCCAGAGCUGCAGCUGGAGCCUUGUGCAUUGCAUCAUACACAGGGCAGGGACAGACGCUCCUCCUUGCUCCCUCCCUGAGGUGAGCAGUAGUUGCGAAUACAAGUCAGUAUUCACAAAAGCCACGGGUCCCUCCUCUGUUGUCUUUUUGCAAGUGUUGUUUUUGUUUUUGAAAGCUAGGUACCUUCUGCAGCCACAGGCCCGUUAACUUCCCAAACCACCUCCAUCCUACAGUACCUCAGCUCUCCAACUAAGGGUUUUAGAGAUAUUGUACUCUGGGCAUCCGCAACCUCUUAGAGGAGUUUCAGGCCCAUCUGCUGGUCUUGAAGCUGCAGAGCAGUCUGAGUUCACACUCUGCUAAAGUACAUUUGAUUCCAGUGCCUACCCCUCACCUUCCCACCUCACCCCACUCCCCAACUCCCUUAGAGGUGGCUUGCUUAUUUUUUUUUUUUUCUGUUUUGUUUGUUUCCUUAGAUAAAGACAAGUUGCUUUAGAAAAGUAAAUUUUAAAUCACUAGGAAGUUUCCAGCCUGCAAGAUUUGGGGAAGGAAUUUCCAUCCCUUCUUCUUGGCCCUAAUGACCACCACCCAAACGAGGAGACUGCUCUGUGGUGAUAGUGUUCACUGUGUGGAUGGCUAGUUCAAUACUCAACCUCUAAAAAGAGAAGAGCUGGAGAAGAAGAGCUGUGCCAAGUUGACAGCUCAAGUCUAUGCACAAAGCCUAGAAGUUCAGUUUCCCAAACUCAGCUCCCAACUUGAGAUGCUUCCCAGGACUAGAGAGAAUCCUCAGUGCUUAAGAGCAUGUUAUUCUUGCAGAGGCCCUGGAAUCUGUUCCCAGUACCCACAUGGCAGCUAACUAUCCAGAAUUCCUCUCUAGGGAUCUAACACUGCCUCUGAACCCCUCAGUCACCAGGUAUGCAAAGGUGAGCAUGCGUACAUGCAAGCAAAACACUUAAAAUAAACUAAAUUUUUUAAAUGUAUGCUUUUCUCCAAGUGAUAAUAAACAUCACUCCUAAAACAAAGAAAGACAGUUCUGUCAUCUAGGGAGCCCCAGAAACCUUCUCCCAUUUUCUUCUUGAGUCUUAGCUCUCACUUCCCCUGCCUUCUCUAGCACCUCUGAAAUUUAGGUUGGAUGUGAUGCUGAGGGCAGAAAGCUACUGAACAGUGAGGAUGCUGGGGACUUAGCGAACAUGCUAGAGUUCAGAGUUUUGGCUGGUAACAGAAUAAAAGGGACACCCCUCAAAAAAAUCAGUCAAAACUCGGUGAGGUAUAAUACAUCAGUAAUCCCACCUCUGGGGAAGUCGAAGCAGGAGGAUGCCCAGUGGGAGGCCAUUUUAAACUACACUGUGAAACCCUUGUCUCCAGGCGGAAUAAAAGAAAAAGGAAAAACAGAAGGCGGGUGUCAUGGCUUCGUGGUGGGGAAGACAGCUUGCUUCAAAAGUCUAACAACUUGACUGAAUUGGUUGUCCCAAACCCAUGUAAGGUAGAAGAAAUAAACUAAGUGUACAGCGU
rnacentral:lncRNA from 1 species